CCUACGGGAGGCAGCAGUGAGGAAUAUUGGUCAAUGGGCGUAAGCCUGAACCAGCCAAGUAGCGUGCAGGACGACGGCCCUAUGGGUUGUAAACUGCUUUUAUGCAAGAAUAAAUUAGCUCACGUGUGGGUUAUUGCAGGUAUUGCAUGAAUAAGGACCGGCUAAUUCCGUGCCAGCAGCCGCGGUAAUACGGAAGGUCCGGGCGUUAUCCGGAUUUAUUGGGUUUAAAGGGAGCGUAGGCGGCCUUUUAAGCGUGUUGUGAAAUUCAGUUGCUCAACAUCUGACUUGCAGCGCGAACUGGGGGGCUUGAGUAUGCUGAAGGUAGGCGGAAUUCGUGGUGUAGCGGUGAAAUGCUUAGAUAUCACGAAGAACUCCGAUUGCGAAGGCAGCUUACUGCAGCUUAA
rnacentral:rRNA from 1 species